rnacentral:rRNA from 1 species
GACGAACGCUGGCGGCGUGCUUAACACAUGCAAGUCGAACGGAAAGGCCCUGCUUUUGUGGGGUGCUCGAGUGGCGAACGGGUGAGUAACACGUGAGUAACCUGCCCUUGACUUUGGGAUAACUUCAGGAAACUGGGGCUAAUACCGGAUAGGAGCUCCUGCUGCAUGGUGGGGGUUGGAAAGUUUCGGCGGUUGGGGAUGGACUCGCGGCUUAUCAGCUUGUUGGUGGGGUAGUGGCUUACCAAGGCUUUGACGGGUAGCCGGCCUGGGAGGGUGACCGGCAACAUGGGGAUGGGGAUAGGGCCCAGACUCAUCCGGAGGCAGCAGUGGGGAAUAUUGCACAAUGGGCGGAAGCCUGAUGCAGCAACGCCGCGUGCGGGAUGACGGCCUUCGGGUUGUAAACCGCUUUCGCCUGUGACGAAGCGUGAGUGACGGUAAUGGGUAAAGAAGCACCGGCUAACUACGUG